rnacentral:rRNA from 1 species
UACGUAGGGGGCGAGCGUUGUCCGGAGUUACUGGGCGUAAAGCGCACGCAGGCGGUCUGCUAAGUUUGGAGUGACAGUUGGUGGCUUAACUGCCAAAGUGCUUCGAAAACUGACAGACUUGAGGGCUUCAGAGGGACACGGAAUUCCGGGUGGAGUGGUGAAAUGCGUAGAGAUCAGGAAGAACACCCGUGGCGAAGGCAGUGGCCUGGGGAGUACCUGACGCUCAGGUGCGAAAGCCAGGGGAGCGAACGGG